rnacentral:misc_RNA from 1 species
AACGCACCUUGCGCUCCAUGGCAUUCCGUGGAGCAUGCCUGUUUGAGUGCCGCGAAAUCUCCCACCCCUAGCGGUUGCCGCAAGGCGCCGCCGGGCGGCGGGGUUGGUUGGGUGCCGCUGCCUGGGCUUUGGCCCAGGCUCGCCCGAUAUGCAUGAGCGCUUAGCACUCGCACCGUCUCGAGGGAAGGCGGCGGAGCUGGCAUCUGCGCAUGGCAUGAUACGUCAUUUGCUGUGUGGCAGCCCAGCGACCCGAGAGUGUGUGUGCGCUACUACACGCCCUUUCAUUUCUGGUCUCAAAUCAGGUAGGAUCACCCGCUGAACUUAA